UACGUAGGCAGCAAGCGUUGUUCGGAGUUACUGGGCGUAAAGGGUGCGUAGGCGGCUUUUUAAGUUUGGUGUGAAAUCUCCCGGCUCAACUGGGAGGGUGCGCCGAAUACUGAGAGGCUAGAGUGCGGGAGAGGAAAGUGGAAUUCCUGGUGUAGCGGUGAAAUGCGUAGAUAUCAGGAGGAACACCGGUGGUGUAAACGGCUUUCUGGACCGUAACUGACGCUGAUGCACGAAAGCGUGGGGAGCAA
rnacentral:rRNA from 1 species